UCCCUGCUGGUCCAGUGGCUAAGACUCUGCACUCCCAAUGCAGGAGACCCUGGUUUGAUCCCUGGUCAGAGAA
rnacentral:tRNA from 1 species